rnacentral:tRNA from 1 species
GGGUUCGUGGCCUAAUGGAAAGGCGUCUGACUCCGGAUCAGAAGACUCGGGGUUCAAGUCCCCGCGGACUCA